rnacentral:rRNA from 1 species
AUUGAACGCUGGCGGCAUGCCUUACACAUGCAAGUCGAACGGCAGCACGGGAGCAAUCCUGGUGGCGAGUGGCGAACGGGUGAGUAAAGUAUCGGAACGUGCCCAGUCGUGGGGGAUAACGUAGCGAAAGUUACGCUAAUACCGCAUACGAUCUAUGGAUGAAAGCGGGGGAUCGCAAGACCUCGCGCGAUUGGAGCGGCCGAUAUCAGAUUAGGUAGUUGGUGGGGUAAAGGCCCACCAAGCCGACGAUCUGUAGCUGGUCUGAGAGGACGACCAGGCAGACUGGGACUGAGACACGGCCGAGACUCCGACGGGAGGCAGCAGUGGGGAAUUGUGGAGAAUGGGCGAAAGCCUGAUCCAGCCAUACCGCGUGCAGGAUGAAGGCCUUCGGGUUGUAAACUGCUUUUGUACGGAACGAAAAGGACUGCCCUAAUACGGUGGUCCCAUGACGGUACCGUAAGAAUAAGCACCGGCUAACUACGUGCCAGCCGCCGCGGUAACAC